ACAUGGCCGUGAUGAUAAACACUAUUAGAAAACAUGACAGUUCUGCUUCUGAUAGUUUAUGACAGAAGAACAAAAGAUCUGAGCCAUUA